rnacentral:rRNA from 1 species
GAUGAACGCUAGCGGCAGGCCUAACACAUGCAAGUCGAGGGGUAGCAGGAUUAAGCUUGCUUAAUUGCUGACGACCGGCGCGCGGGUGCGUAACGCGUAUGCAACCUACCUUAUACUGGGGUAUAGCCCGGAGAAAUUCGGAUUAAUCCCCCAUAGUACUAAUGAAUCGCAUGGUUUAUUAGUUAAAGCAUUGCGGUAUAAGAUGGGCAUGCGUCCUAUUAGCUAGAUGGUGAGGUAACGGCUCACCAUGGCUACGAUAGGUAGGGGGCCUGAGAGGGUGGUCCGCCACACUGGUACUGGGACACGGACCAGACUCCUACGGGAGGCGGAAGUGAGGAAUAUUGGUCAAUGGGCGCAAGCCUGAACCAGCCAUGCCGCGUGCAGGAAGAAUGCCCUAUGGGUUGUAAACUGCUUUUAUUUGGGAAUAAACCUCUUUACGUGUAGAGAGCUGAAGGUACCAAAUGAAUAAGCACCGGCUAACUCCGUGCCAGCAGCCGCCGUAA